rnacentral:rRNA from 1 species
AACCGGUGCUAAUACCGAAUAGUUUGCGACCUCUCAUGAAGAUGUACGGAAAGACGGUUUCGGCUGUCACUGCAGGAUGGGCCCGCGGCGCAUUAGCUAGUUGGUGGGGUAACGGCCCACCAAGGCGACGAUGCGUAGCCGACCUGAGAGGGUGAUCGGCCACACUGGGACUGAGACACGGCCCAGACUCCUACGGGAGGCAGCAGUAGGGAAUCUUCCGCAAUGGACGAAAGUCUGACGGAGCAACGCCGCGUGAGUGAAGAAGGUUUUCGGAUCGUAAAACUCUGUUGUGAGGGAAGAACAAGUACCAAGUAACUACUGGUACCUUGACGGUACCUCACCAGAAAGCCACGGCUAACUACGUGCCAGCAGCCGCGGUAAUACGUAGGUGGCAAGCGUUGUCCGGAAUUAUUGGGCGUAAAGCGCGCGCAGGCGGUCCUUUAAGUCUGAUGUGAAAGCCCACGGCUCAACCGUGGAGGGUCAUUGGAAACUGGGGGACUUGAGUGCAGAAGAGGAAAGUGGAAUUCCACGUGUAGCGG